rnacentral:tmRNA from 1 species
GGGGGCGAAACGGGUUCGACGGGGGCGAUUGAGGCCAGGGUUGCAUACCGAGUUUUCACCAGCUCGUAAAAAUGGUGAGCCUAAACAUAAUCGCCAACGAUUAUGAAUAUGCUGUGGCUGCAUAAGCCAGUCACCGUCUCUCCUGUCUUUUCCUGCGAGGCAGGAAGAGACGUCGAUUAGCAGGAUAGUCUCAAAUCAGUAUCCGGAUGGUUUGAGGCGAAAAAAUACCGGAUACGCACUUUUAUAAUCCUGCCUCUGGGAGUAUAAAAGUGCUAAAAAAAUACAGAGGAUAAGUAUGUAGAGACUCUGAGCUGAACGCUUCCGGACGGGGGUUCGACUCCCCCCGCCUCCACCA